rnacentral:lncRNA from 1 species
ACACACACGUUUCUCUUCUUUCCUCAUUUUCUUGCCUAUUUCUUUUGUUGUCAGAUGGUGUAAUAGGAAGGUAGGAACUAGGGGUAGGAAGGAUGGUGAUUGUAAGUGAUAAAAGGUGUGAUGUGAUUAUACAUAGAAAAUCCUUCUGCCUUGGUAAAUCUAUAUCUCUAAUACUAGCCGAGUUUUGCUAAUCUCGCGUGUUUGUAGUCGAAUACUAGUUACU